UGGGGAGACACCAUGGCCUGGGGAUGCCUGGGGGAUAUGUCUGUGGUGAGGACCAGGGCUUCCUUCUCCUUGGCAAUGGAGACUCCACUGUGGAUUCAGGAUGACCGAGGUCCAGGUGAGGAAAACAUGAGGAAGAAGCUUCCUGGGCACUGCCUGUGUGCUGAGGAAGAAGUUCUGCCAUGUCCUUUGCUUUCCCAGGUAAUAUUUCAGCAGAACUUCUUUUACAACAGUAUUCCUCACUGAGGGUUUGGCUGCUCGUCAUUAUGUCACUUCAGUGUGUUUUGUGUGGCCUGAGUGUAUUUUGGGGAGAAAUCCAAGGGCACAGGAGAAACCCAGAUGGCCACUCAAGAUGGUGCAGGGAGGCCCAGCGCCUGGAGUCCCAAUGGGGCCUGAGGGGAAGGGCUAAUGUGCACCUCAUUGCUUGCUCUUAUUCAUGUUUUAAUGAGUAAAUUUUCUUAUAGGUUUAAGUACUUGAGAAAUAUUGAGAAGUUGAUGUGUUAAAAUUCAAAGUUACGUUAAGUGUAAAUAUUGCAUUUGUGUCGGUUACAAGAAGAACCUUGUGGUGGGGUUAUAGAUCAGGGGUGGAGUGCUCCAUCCCAGGCACUCUGAGAUGAAACCAAAUGAAGAAGCAAAACACAGACUUGAAGAUCUACAGUGUAAAUUAACCACAAGUAAAGGAGGACUUCAGAUGUAUUAAUCCAGUGUACUGCAUGCUCCUAUUAGAACCUCAUUUGUCAUUGUCUAAAAUUUAUUGGAAAUAGC
rnacentral:lncRNA from 1 species